GAUGAACGCUGGCGGCGUGCUUAACACAUGCAAGUCGAACGAUGAAGCCCAGCUUGCUGGGUGGUUUAGUGGCGAACGGGUGAGUAACACGUGAGUAACCUACCCUUAACUCUGGGAUAAGCCUGGGAAACUGGGUCUAAUACCGGAUAGGAACGUUCACCGCCUGGAGGGUGUUGGAAUGAAUUAUCGGUUUUGGAUGGACUCGCGGUUUAUCAGCUUGUUGGUGAGGUAAUGGCUCACUAAGGGGACGACGGGUAGCCGGCCUGAGAGGGUGAACGGCCACACUGGGACUGAGACACGGCCCAGACUCCUACGGGAGGCAGCAGUGGGGAAUAUUGCACAAUGGGCGCAAGCCUGAUGCAGCGACGCCGCGUGAGGGAUGACGGCCUUCGGGUUGUAAACCUCUUUCAGUAGGGAAGAAGCGAAAGUGACGGUACCUGCAGAAGAAGCACCGGCUAACUACGUG
rnacentral:rRNA from 1 species